UCUAAUUUGUUUCUGAGAAACUUUCUCUUCACUUGAUUUGCCUUAAUUGCAAUUGUUACCCAAAGCUUGUUGCAGACUCUGUCAACUAACCCAAACCAAGCACACCUCCAUGAGUCGUUGAAGUACAAGAUGCUACAAACUCCAACAAAUCCAGCCGCAAAUCCCAUUCCCAUACCACCGUAGAACCAAACCAUUUCAGAGUCAUCUUUCCUCGUAGUGCCACCUUUUUCAUGACCUUUAGGCAAUUCAUCUGCAUCAUCUGAACAGUUAUUCAAUGGAGGUCCACAAAGUCCAUCGUUGCCGAUGUAGAUGGAUUUGUCAUCCAAAGUCUGAAGUUGGUUUCCCUUUGGAAUUGUCCAGAUAAGUGAUUGAAUGACAAAUUCAAGUAACUUAAAAAGUUCAAAUCAGAAAUACUGGAUGGAAUAGAGCCAGAAAGUUCAUUUUCAGACAAGUCAAGUGAUUCUAGUGAGCUUAACUUGCCAAUGUUCCAAGGGAUAUGUCCAAACAAUUUGUUUGUAGAUAGAUUCAGGUUCUGUAGACCUGAAAGAUUCAUCAACUCCUGGGAAAUUUCUCCAACAAAGUUAUUUCCUGAAAGGUCAAUGGAAUACAGAAAUCGAAGUGUUCCACUAUAUUCAAGCUCCAUUCCUUUGACAUAAACCUGCACAUUCUCACCAUAGCUAGCUCUUACAAAACCCACAUAGGGUUCAGCUUUAGUGUAAUAGUCCCAAUGCCCUUUCUGCUCAUGCAGAGCAAUUGCAGUAAAAUUGCCAAAACAAUUAGGUAUGGUUCCAGUCAUCACGUUAUUUGCCAAGUUCAAUAUGCGAAGAGAAGCAAGGUAGCAAAGCUGCAGAGGAAUAUCACCUUCAAAUUUAUUAGAGUGAAUACUCAGUACUUUCAGAGAAGAUAGGCUCUCACCUAUCCAUGAAGGAAUAAAACCAUCAAAAGAAUUCAUGCUAAGAUCAAGAGUCUCCAAGGAUUCUAGAUACCUUAAUGACAUUGGGAUCUUUCCUUGCAGAGUAUUGUUUUGCAAAUGCAGGGAAACAAGCGACUCUUGAGAACCCAAGGACAUUGGAACAUCACCACUCAGCAUAUUACUUGAAAAAUCAAUCACAGUUAAACUUGGCAAAUUUCCCCAACAUGAAGGUAUUCUUCCUGAUAGAUGAUUAUUCG
rnacentral:lncRNA from 1 species